GAAGAACGUUGUAGUCCGGAAGUCUGCUUCAACAAACUUGCUAGCUAUGUUGUUGUCUUGAGCUAUCUUAAUCAGGUGACUUAGCUUAGAAAACCCCUUCAAGCCAAUCAAAAUAAACUUGUUGCUCAUGCUAGGACCUGUAUGAUUCGGUUCCAUCCUAUAAUCUGAACAUUCAGCCGGCAGCAAGGAAAAUGGAGGAAAUCAUUAUUCUGCAUUUUUCAGUCUCUUCCCAAUAUCUACACAGUCUUCUUUUUUGCCAUAAACGUAUCAGUAACAACCUCUUGCUGCUCCUUGAUUUUUGACAACAUCUUGAAGAGAUGGAAUCAAACUUAACAUAUCUGAUGCAGUUUGCUUAUGAGAUUUGGACAUGAACUGUGAUAAAUGCAUGUCUUCUGCACAAAAGCAAACCAAAUUGCAAUGCAUGCCCAAGUGUUUUGCACAAGAUUAUGCCAUCUCUGCGGUCCUGAUCCGGUUGUUACGCAUUGCAGACCGGCACCAGCAUACAACUAGUGGGCAAUGUUGUUCUGCAGCAUGUUGGCUCCCCGAAUAGAGCAGAAUUUAUGAUAGGCUCGUGAUUGAUUAGAUUGAUGCAUUGCAAACUGGUUUUGGCUCGUAAACGGCUUGUUGAGCAUGGCCAUGGUUAGGAUUAGUAACUCUGAAUUUGGUAGGCGGCAAAGUUGCUAGAUUUAGGAUCAUUUGUGUUAGCUUUUUGUGUGUUGUAUUGUCAUGAAGGUUCUAUUUUGUGAAUUUGAAAAUUGGAUGUAACAAAUGAGAAUCCGCUAUAAUUUCGGGGAUUGCCCAAGGUUGUAGCAGCUUUGAAAUGUGAAUGUGUUGGUUUGAAUUUUGCAUUUCGUUUCAAACAUUGUAAUCAAAGGUCCAUGAAAUGACGCAAUGGCUUUGGUUUGAAUGA